ACGUGCACAACUCUGUCGGGUUGAGGGCCCGAUUAAUGCCCGCCGGCAUCCCCGCCCACCCGACGAAACCUCCCCCUACAUAACCUGACCCCGCCUUGCCCGGUAUUUCUUCUUCUUCUUCCGAACCUAUCUAUUCCCGAGCCUGAGCCUGAGCCUGAGCCCAUCCCCACCCCCUCCCGGUUAGUCCGCUGUUUGUUGACAAAGCCUGCCCAUUUCUGGGUCUCCGAGACUUCUUCGUGUCGUGGCUCCCGUUGCUUCCGUUUUCUACCCGUUGCCAGAGCUGACGAGUUCUGCCGGCCAACCAGCCCACCCUGAUCACAGGGAUCACAACGCGUGGAGCAAUAGUGUGAGCGAGCUGGCAUGGAGAGUGAGCUGGAUGGGUGUUUUCUAGUAUGGAAGUGACUGACUGACAAGUAAGAGUGGGUUUCAAUGGAAGACAAUUUCUGGCCUUGGUGGCAGUUGCCUGUCCUUUAGCUUGCCAUUGCAUGCUUAAAGGGGGAUUGAGUCUUAUUUUUUUGUCAUUAUGGCAUUGACAAUUUUGGAGGUGUAUGUGAUAUGGCAACCCCAAGAAUCAUGCUCUUUUAACAAA